GGAAACCAGUCCCACUGUGACUGAUGGAAACCAGUCCUCGCUGCAACUGUGGAGUCUCCAUGAACACGAGGCACAGCAGGACUCCAUUCACGUCGACAUGGAGGUUGGAGUUGACUGGACGGGACCGUGUGGUCAUCGUCAGCCUGGUGUUCUGGUCCCUGAAGUUCAGCUGCAGUGCUGAUGGGCCUCUGUCCAACGUGUACAAACUGUAUGCUUAAUGUCAGAAAUGCUCCAGUAAAUGCCGGCGUCAGCAGGCAUCAGAGUAGUGUAAGUAAUUGUUUUCAAUCGGCUCAGGCACCAAAAGGAAGGACCGAAAUCUGCGUUGCGUUUCGGUCCAGUAGUUACCGGUCGCAUUGGAACCGGUACUAAUAUGUCACCAGUUAUCGGUACCGACCCGUCACAACCUUCUGCUUCUGUCUUCUUACAACCAUCUCAGCAGCAGGUUGGUGGUGGAUGCUGUCAGAUAAAAAGCCCCUUGAAUAGUUGACUUGACUUCGACGUGUGUGAAGUAGUGUAGUGAUCAUCUGGACGAGAGACCAACGGGCCCCCGACGCCUCGAGCUCCGUGUUCACACUUUUAUGGCCCCUUAAUUCCUACAACUCAACGUUCCCAAACAAGCUUACGGCCAAAAAACCGGAUUUCCAUGAAGCACGGUCGCCAUAUUUCUGUUCACUGUGUCAGAAUGAAACAACUCUUCCAGGUAAACACCUCAAUGCUGCUGCUGCGUGGACACACACUGUCCUCUAGUGGAGACAUGUGUGACUCUUUGUGACUUUCCUUCCUUCAAACUCCCCCAAAGAGAGACAUCGCCUGUAGAGGCCCCCUUGUCAAAGUCA